rnacentral:tRNA from 1 species
GGAAGUACAACCGUCGCUGGUGGGCGGCUCAGUCUUCAAAACUGAUGAGGGGGGUGAGAAACUUCCCUGGUGGGUUCGAUUCCCAUGUGCUUCCGCCA